GUUCGAAGUAAAAGCAGGUAAUCUACCAUCAUCUCAUAACUUGGACAAAUAUAUUUAAGAAUAUUGAAUUUAUUUAACGAGAGUAAAGAGGGAAUAAUUUAAAAUUCAGGGAUUUGUGCGUUGAUUAUUUUCCGAGUCUUUGAGAAUAUAUUUACGAAAAAUAAGGUGAAAUGUAUAUAUCCGUUUUCUUUUAUUAUAAUUUAAUGGUGUUUUCUGCACUAUUUUGAUUUGGUGUUUGUAUUUUUCUUUACAUUCUAAUUAAUCAUAUCAUAUAAUACUAAGAUCACAUUGUGUGUAUUUAAGUAUUUAACGGUAACCCCACUCCCCCUCCCCCAUUAUGACUUAGUGAAAAAAAUUACUCAAUAUUAUUACAGGUGCCAAACAAAAAAGAAACAAUGGAUGAAUAUCUUUCUUGUGAAUAAAUUACUGUCAGUAUUUUAAUUUAUGGUAUGUCAUGCUCAAAGUUUAAGACUAGUAUAUUUAUUAAGAUUUUUUUUAAAUCCAUUGUUGUUGGACAGUCAAUGUCACCCAUUAUAUUUACGACAUCAUUUGUUUUCCUUUAGGUGUAUUUUAACAGCAUUUAUGGAAGUCUCCAACCAGACGGCUGUGAAUGAUUUCAUCCUUCUUGGUCUGUCGACCAUCCCGUACCUACAAGCUAUUUUCUUCUCCCUGUUUCUGUCUAUGUACAUAGCAACUCUAGUAGGAAACACUUUGCUUAUUGUAGCUGUGAAACUAAAUACUCAGCUCCAGACCCCAAUGUAUUUCUUCCUCAGUAAUCUCGCCUUCAUUGACAUCUGUUUCUCCACCACAAUAUUGCCCCAAAUUUUGGUAAACACUUUAGUUG